rnacentral:rRNA from 1 species
AUUGAACGCUGGCGGCAUGCCUUACACAUGCAAGUCGAACGGCAGCAUGGAGAGCUUGCUCUCUGAUGGCGAGUGGCGAACGGGUGAGUAAAGCAUCGGAACGUACCGUGUAGUGGGAGAUAACGUAGCGAAAGUUACGCUAAUACCGCAUACGCACUGAGGUGGAAAGCAGGGGAUCGUAAGACCUUGCGCUAUACGAGCGGCCGAUGUCAGAUUAGCUAGUUGGUAGGGUAAAGGCCUACCAAGGCGACGAUCUGUAGCGGGUCUGAGAGGAUGAUCCGCCACACUGGGACUGAGACACGGCCCAGACUCCUACGGGAGGCAGCAGUGGGGAAUUUUGGACAAUGGGGGCAACCCUGAUCCAGCCAUGCCGCGUGAGUGAAGAAGGCCUUCGGGUUGUAAAGCUCUUUCGGCCGGGAAGAAAUCGCACAGGCUAAUACCCUGUGUGGAUGACGGUACCGGCAUAAGAAGCACCGGCUAACUACGUGCCAGCAGCCGCGGUAA